rnacentral:rRNA from 1 species
GAUGAACGCUGGCGGCGUGCUUAACACAUGCAAGUCGAACGGAAAGGCUCCUGCUUGCAGGGGUACUCGAGUGGCGAACGGGUGAGUAACACGUGGGUGAUCUGCCCUGCACUUCGGGAUAAGCCUGGGAAACUGGGUCUAAUACCGGAUAGGACGUUGGUUUGGAUGCCAUUGUGGAAAGUUUUUCGGUGUGGGAUGGGCUCGAGGCCUAUCAGCUUGUUGGUGGGGUAAUGGCCUACCAAGGCGUCGACGGGUAGCCGGCCUGAGAGGGUGGACGGCCACAUUGGGACUGAGAUAGGGCCCAGACUCCUACGGGAGGCAGCAGUGGGGAAUAUUGCACAAUGGGGGCAAGCCUGAUGCAGCGACGCCGGGUGGGGGAUGACGGCCUUCGGGUUGUAAACUCCUUUCGCUAGGGACGAAGCGCAAGUGACGGUACCUGGAGAAGAAGCACCGGCUAACUACGUG